UUCGCCUGUUUAUCAAAAACAUGUCUGUAUGGUGCUAUGUAGAGUCUGGCCUGCCCACUGAUAUUAAUUGAAGGGCCGCGGUAUCUUGACCGUGCGAAGGUAGCAUAAUCAUUAGUCUUUUAAUUGGAGGCUUGUAUGAAUGGUUGGACAAAAAGUAAGCUGUCUCAUCUACAAAAUUUGAAUUUAACUUUUAAGUGAAAAGGCUUAAAUAAUUUAGGGGGACGAUAAGACCCUAUAAAGCUUUACAAUAAUCUAAAUAUUCCAAGAUUUGUUAGUCUAAUUUGGGUUAUUUAGAGUUUGUUUCGUUGGGGCGACGAGAAUAUAAAUUAAAUAACUGUUCUUUUCAGUACUACAAUAUUAAUUGAUUAAAAAUUGAUCCUUUAUUAAAGAUUAAAAGAUUAAGUUACUUUAGGGAUAACAGCGUAAUCUUCUUAGAGAGUCCAUAUCGACAAGAAGGGUUGCGACCUCGAUGUUGAAUUAAGGGAUCCUUCUGGUGCAGCAGCUAUAAAGGAAGGUCUGUUCGACCUUUAAAUCCUUACAUGAUUUGAGUUCAGACCGGCGUAAGCCAGGUUGGGGUUUCUAUCUAA
rnacentral:rRNA from 1 species